rnacentral:rRNA from 1 species
AUUGAACGCUGGCGGCAUGCCUAAUACAUGCAAGUCGAGCGAACGAACGGGAAGCUCUCCUCGCUGCUGUUGCCGACGGACGGGUGAGUACCACGUAGAUACCCUACCUAUGAGACUGAGGUCAGUUAGCGAGACCUGAUCUAAUACCGGAUCUUAUUUUGAACCGCAGGGUUCUUAAGUCCAAGACGGUCUUGCUGUCACUUAUAGGUAUAUCCGCGUUGCAUUAGCUAGUUGGUAAGGUAACGGCCUACCAAGGCUACGAUGCAUAGCCGACCUGAGAGGGUGAUCAGCCACACUGGAACUGAGACACGGUCCAGACUCCUACGGGAGGCAGCAGUGGGGAAUCUUCCGCAAUGGGCGAAAGCCUGACGCAGCCACGCCGCGUGAGUGAUGAAGGUCUUCGGAUCGUAAAGCUCUGUUAGUAGGGAAGAAGAUAAGUAUAAGUAACUGUGGACGUCUUGACGGUACCUAAAGAGAAAGCCACGGCUAACUUCGUG